ensembl:lncRNA
GGAAAUCCCAUUUCCUGCCAUUUAGAUGUUGCCAGCUCCAAUACUUUGGCCACAUGAUGCGAAGAACUCAUUAGAAAAGACCCUGAUUCUGGGAAGGAUUGAAGGCGGGAGGAGAAGGGGACGACAGAGGAUGGGAUGGUUGGAUGGCAUCACUCACUCAAUGGACACGAAUUUGAGCAAGCUCUGGGAGAUGGUGAAGGACAGGGAAGGCUGGUGUGCUGCAGACCAUGGGGUUGCAAAGAGUCAGACUCAACUGAGCGACUGAACAGCAACAAGGAGAACAGGGGAGAAGAAGGUGGAGGACAGGUGAUGCGGGAAGAUGAGGAGGACAUUAAGAGGGGAGGAGAGAAAAGGAAGAAGACCAGCUCGGAAGGACCAGGACCAGGAACUCACAAGCCAGUGAGGUCCACCGGGUUUAUGGUUUAGGCCAGAAGUCACCAUCUCAGAGACUCAGUAUGAAAACAGGGACCACCAAGAGGAGGAGUCUGCAGCCAGAGUGUGUGACUGCUAGGAAAUAAGACACAAUAGAAACGGAGGUGUGGAUGAGGGAGCGUCUUCAGCUCGGACAGGAAGGAAGGGUGUCAGCAGUUGGGGAAGGAAAAGGAACCUGAUCGGGAACCACUGUUUUCAUCAACGUUGCUCUGGAGCUCUGUCGGGGUAUUUUCCCUCCCUGAGUGACAACUGUAUUGAUGCACAAAGUAAAUGAGAAAAUACUC